rnacentral:tRNA from 3 species
UCCCGGGUGGUGUAACGGUAGCACAACCGACUUUGACUCGGUUAGACAUGGUUCAAAUCCAUGCCCGGGAGCCA